rnacentral:lncRNA from 1 species
CAUACAACAAAACAAACAUUAAUAUGCAGAAAUUGUUUUAAAAAAUACGCUUCUGGAUUUGGCUGCACUCUAGAAGUCAACUAUCUGUUCUCACUCUGCAAAUGUAGACAAAGAUGUGUCCUGCCCUGAAGAUCUGGUGGGCUAAUUCAUAGCUCCAACAUGAAUGGUACAUAUGUUCAAGAUAAAAUUGUCAAGCUUGAUGUUGUGAGUCAUCUCAACCAACGCCUACAAGAUCUCCCCUACUGUUAGCAGCAAAAUUGCCCUCAUUUUUGGAGCAUGAGCAGUACAGACAAUGACGCAAAGGUAAGAACUCUGAGAAGAACAACCUGCCUGCUCUAAGUGAAGAUCAGGUUCAAGACCAUCUAAAGAACAUGAACCACAGGUCCAUGGGACCUGAUGAGAUCCAGCCGUGGGUUCUGAGGGAACUUGUGGACAAAGUUGCCAAACCACUAUCAAUCAUAUUUGAAAGGUUGUGGAAGUCUGGUGAAGUUCCCACUGACUGGAAAAGGGAAAACAUUACCCCCAUUUC